GACGAACGCUGGCGGUGUGCUUAACACAUGCAAGUCGAACGGAAAGGCCCUGCUUUUGUGGGGUGCUCGAGUGGCGAACGGGUGAGUAACACGUGAGUAACCUGCCCUUGACUUUGGGAUAACUUCGGGAAACUGGGGCUAAUACCGGAUAGGAGCUCCUGCUGCAUGGUGGGGGUUGGAAAGUUUCGGCGGUUGGGGAUGGACUCGCGGCUUAUCAGCUUGUUGGUGGGGUAGUGGCUUACCAAGGCUUUGACGGGUAGCCGGCCUGAGAGGGUGACCGGCCACAUUGGGACUGAGAUACGGCCCAGACUCCUACGGGAGGCAGCAGUGGGGAAUAUUGCACAAUGGGCGGAAGCCUGAUGCAGCAACGCCGCGUGCGGGAUGACGGCCUUCGGGUUGUAAACCGCUUUCGCCUGUGACGAAGCGUGAGUGACGGUAAUGGGUAAAGAAGCACCGGCUAACUACGUG
rnacentral:rRNA from 1 species